UCAGCGGGUAUUCCUACCUGAUCCGAGGUCAAC
rnacentral:rRNA from 1 species